CUCAGAGGCUGGAAGCCCGCGGCCCCCUGAGCUCCGGAUGCUGGGUGAACGAGGUCCUGGGCCAGGGCAGCUCUGUUUACCUCUUCCCUCCUUGACUGGCCCGAGAACUGAAAUCUGUCCCAGUCGGGGUUCUAGGUCUCCCAGGCCCGGCCCACCGACCUUCCCUCCAACACCACCCGGGCCCUCUGAGUCCUGGGGCCUCAAGGCUCAACUCCUGGAGCCCAGCGCAAGAGCCACGCAGAAAUGCGCCCAGGGGCCACAGUCAGGACCUCGAGCCAUUCACUCAUCCUCAAAUCUUCUUGGCGGUGGAAGCUGUCUUGCAGGGCAGGGCUGGAGUGGCCUCUCAGAAGCUGUGUGCAUGCUCUCCUGGCGGGUUUCCUCCCUGGAGAAUCGAGUCAGGUUGAAUGAUCACCAAAGCUCUGUGGCAGAAAUUGAAUAAUGCCUACUAGUCUGGGGACAACUGUGUCACCUCCUCCCUGGCCCCAGACAAGAAUGGAUGUUGAAAAGGAGAACCUGGGCCUAGGCCUGGCAUACAGGGCAUGACCAAUGAGGCGGAAGUGUGCAGGGCUGCUGGGGUGUCACCUCAUGGAAGCUUCUGGGAGAUCUUCAGAGGUAAAAUUCCUGUUAGUCUUGGUCAUAUGACCUGUCCUGAAGCAUAGUGGGUAAGAGGGUGGCGCUGUAAGCCUCAGGACCCCAGCGAAGGCCUAGAGUUUCUUUGAGCUCUAUAGACAGAAUCCGAUUCUAAAUCCCCCCAGUGCAGGGCAAGGCCCCCACAGGUCCCAACAGGGCCUGGCACUCAGUUGGUCCUCACUGAAUAGUCUUAGCGUUGCACAGUGGAGAAGGACCUACACUCCCUGGAGAAACCAGAAUCGGGUUCUUUUAAGGGCAGAAGCCAGGAUCAGAGAGGAAUUCACUGAAGGGAAGGUUGCCUGUGAAGCAGAGGCACCAGCCUCACUGUCUGUCCCUUCCCUUCCUCUUCCUCAGAGCCUGGUCCCUCCCUGUGCCCUGCAGGGGUCAGCUGGAAGGCUCAGGAUUCUCGCUGUUCCAGAGUCACAGCCAGGAGCCACAGGGAGAACAGUGCUGGGGCCUCUUGGGAGUUGGGCCAGGGGCUCCCCAUCACUCAGCUCUUCAGACCAAUGCUGCUAUGAGGACACAAGGGUAACAGUGGCUCGGUCAGGAUGCCCACAUUUUUGGUUUCACCCACCAGCUUCUCCUACUCAUUCGCCUCUUUCUGUUUGCCUUCAUCGAGGUGGAAUUUCUAUAAAAUUAACCAUAAAAUUAACCAUUUUAUUAUUUUUUUUAAGAUUUUGUUUAUUUAUUUGCGAGAGAGUGUGUGCAUGAGCUGGGGGAGGAGGAGAGGGCAAGAGACCAGCAGACUGACCCCUGAGCAGGGAGCCUGAUGCGGGCCUUGAUCCCAGAACCCCAAGAUCAUGACCUGAGCUGAAGUCAGACACUAAACAACCAACAGAGCCAGCCAGGCGCCUCAAAAAUAACCAUUUUUAAAGUGAACAACUCAGUGGCAUUCACAGUGUGGCACAACCCCCACCCCCAUCUAGCUCCAGAAAUUUUUGUCACUCUGACGUAAAAUGCUUGACUCCAUCAAGGAGUCACUGGCCUCUCUGCCCCAUCCUACCCCAAGCAACCACAGGUCUGCCUUUUGUCUCUAUAGAUUGACCUAUUCUGGAUAUUUCGUAUAAAUGGAAUCACACACUUUGUGACCUUUUUUAUCUGGUUUCUUCCACUUAGCACGUUUCGGGGUUCAUCCAUGCUAUGGCACACGUCAGUAUUUCAUCCCGUCUUCAGGCUGAGUGAUACCCCUCUGUGUGUAUGGACCACAUUUUGUGUAUCUAUUCCUCUGUUCACAGUUUCACUUAGUUCUGAGUAACACCUCAGGUCCUUGCUGCAAGGUCUCAUGGUGCAAAGAGGUGUGGGCUAGGAGUUUCGUAAGCUCGGUCUCUGAGCAGGCUGGGUGUUCUAAGGCAAGUGGAUUGACCUUUCUGGGCCCCAGUCUACUCAUCUAUAAAGUGAAAAGUUUGGCAAGGACCAUUUCACGUUACAAUCCUCUGUGACUUUUUGCAACUGUGAAGUGCUCCCUGGCACUCAUAGAAAGGAUCCCAAUGCCUUUUCUGCCAGCCACAAUCCUGUGUCAAGGACCCCAUUACAACAGGCCCUGAGGUUUGCACUGUGCCCCCCCGUGGAUUGGGCCCCCUUUCCAUCUGUACCUUUGGAUCUUAAAGAGGCCAAAUCUUUUUUUUUUUUUAGAACACUAUUCUUUUUUUUUUUAAGAUUUUAUUUAUAUAUUCAUAAGAGACACAGAGAGAGAGGCAGAGAUCACAGGAUCACACCCUGAGCCAAAGGCAGAUGCUCAACCACUGAGCCACCCAAGCGUCCCAAGAGGCCAAAUCUUCGUGAGAAGCAUAGCUGCGGUGGGUUGUGUCUUGUGAGUUAUUCCCUUCUUGACUGAGUAUCCAGCCAGACUCUCAGCAAUUGUGAUUUAGAGAUGAAAUGGCCAACUUGGAGCACACGGAGGUUUUCAUCAUACCUGCUUAGGAAGUGGACACCAAGCUAAGUGAAAAGGAUUCAACAUCAGGGAAGUAUACGAUUUGAUAUCCCAACUGACUUUUAUUCCAUGUACAUUCACGGUCCUGUUACCCCAUCUCCUGCUUUGGGCAGGUUGGAAACAUACAGAGAAACAGAUUUAAGAAAUAUCCCCUUUCUUAGCAUCUAAGAGCUUUGAGACCUACCCCGAUUGUUGGGGAGUAGUCAGCUGCUCCUCUCCCAGUGAAUUGAGCUUGGAGGUGGAGGCACUUUAAUGUGGGGAAGGUAUCAUUAUCUCAAGGAUGUUUUACAUUUAUUUUCGGAAUAUGGAAGCUCACUGGGGCCCCUGGGUGGCUCAGUGGUUGAGUGUCUGCCUUCGGCUCAGGUCAUGAUCCUGGGGUCUGGGGAUCGAGUCCCGCAUCGGGCUCCCCACAGGGAGCCUGCUUCUCCCUCUGCCUGUGUCUCUGCCUCUCUCUGUCUCUCAUGAAUAAAUAAAUGGAAUAUGGAAGCUCAGUAAAUUGAAAUAAUGGUUUUACCUUCUUCCUUUUUAAUACUCGAACCGUACCCUGGCAUUUCCAAUCCCCUUACUCUGCUCACUUGCCUUUCCCCCAUACGAUAAUUUUUAUUUACUAAAUUCAUUGUUUAUUGUCUGUCUUUGUCUGUGGAAUAGAAGCUCCACGAGGCAGAGAUCUUUGCUCAUGCUGAUGCCUGAUGUAGAACUCUGCCCAGCACAAAGUAAGUACUCAGUAAAUAUUUGUUGGAAUGGAAUGGAUGCACACAGAUGAUGUUUUGCCGCCAAACCAUUUCCUAACUAGAAGGGAAGAGACAUGAAGCGUCACUGGGAUUCCCACAGAAGAAAACACCAGCAGAAUCUGAUCCUGUCAAGGUGCAUUGUUGGACUCUAUUUGCCUUCCCCAAAAUGCUGUUCUAAAAACAGCCAAGUCUUGGAGGUUGGUCUUCUAUUGGUCCUCGGGUGGGCAUCAAAAAAGGGAUUUUCUGAAAUAAUUCAUCAGUUAGGAUUAACAAACGUACUAAAACUGUAACAUUCUCUACUGCUUCCUUGAGUUCUUUGGGCUAGUUCUGAGCAGAGCUAGGGUCCAGAUCUUGAGGCUUAAGGCCAACUCUUAAAUUAAAUAGAUACAGGGACACCUGGGUGGCUCAGUGGUUGAGCAUCUGCCUUCGGCUCAGGGCCUGAUCCAGUCCCGCAUUGGGAUCCCCACAGGGAGCCUGCCUCUCCCUCUGCUUAUGUCUCUGCCUCUCUCUGUGUCUCUCAUGAAUAAAUAAAAUUUUUUAAAAAACUUUAAAAAUUGUUUAAAAAAUUAAACAGAUUCAUAGUUGGACAAUUUGUUCUAAUCCUUUGGGAAGCAAACCCCUUGGGUUAAAAAAAAAAAAAAAAGGCCAAUACUCCAAUUGCUGAGUCAUUCCAAUGGGAGCAUAUCUAGAAGAGGAAAAGUAUUUCCUGGCAAAUUUGCAGCUCCCACAAACCAUCCCCAUCACUGUCACAAGAAAAUGUUGGAGCUGGGGGGAGGGUGGCUGCAACUUUUCAAAUCAGACAGCCAGCAUAAACCUUAACAUUAAAUAUCCUAAGGAAAAAAAAAAAAACCCUCAGUGGUUGUAUUUAUCCCGAAUGCAAAAGUGUCCCCUUUGUUGAGGUCUGAGCCAAGAGAAC
rnacentral:lncRNA from 1 species